rnacentral:rRNA from 1 species
UGGGGAAUAUUGCACAAUGGGGGAAACCCUGAUGCAGCGACGCCGCGUGAGCGAAGAAGGCUUUCGAGUCGUAAAGCUCUGUCCUAUGAGAAGAUAAUGACGGUAUCAUAGGAGGAAGCCCUGGCUAAAUACGUGCCAGCAGCCGCGGUAAUACGUAUGGGGCGAGCGUUGUCCGGAAUUAUUGGGCGUAAAGGGUACGUAGGCGGUUUUUUAAGUCAGGUGUCAAAGCGUGGAGCUUAACUCCAUUAAGCACUUGAAACUGAAAGACUUGAGUGAAGGAGAGGAAAGUGGAAUUCCUAGUGUAGCGGUGAAAUGCGUAGAUAUUAGGAGGAAUACCGGUGGCGAAGGCGACUUUCUGCACUUUUACUGACGCUCAGGUACGAAAGCGUGGGGAGCAAACAGG